rnacentral:rRNA from 1 species
AGAGUUUGAUCCUGGCUCAGGAUGAACGCUAGCGGCAGGCCUAACACAUGCAAGUCGAGGGGUAACAGUGGUAGCAAUAUCAGCUGACGACCGGCGCACGGGUGAGUAACGCGUAUGCAACCUGCCUUGUACAGGGGGAUAGCCCGUGGAAACAUGGAUUAAUACCCCAUAAGAUUACAGUAAAUCAUUUUACAGUGAUAAAAACUUAGGUGGUACAAGAUGGGCAUGCGUGACAUUAGCUAGUUGGUGGGGUAACGGCCCACCAAGGCGAUGAUGUCUAGGGGUUCUGAGAGGAUGAUCCCCCACACUGGUACUGAGACACGGACCAGACUCCUACGGGAGGCAGCAGUGAGGAAUAUUGGGCAAUGGGCGGAAGCCUGACCCAGCCAUGCCGCGUGCAGGAAGACGGCCCUACGGGUUGUAAACUGCUUUUCUGAAGGAAGAAAUGUCCCGACGUGUCGGGAUUUGCCGGUACUUCAGGAAUAAGCAUCGGCUAACUCCGUGCCAGCAGCCGCGGUAAUACGGAGGAUGCAAGCGUUAUCCGGAUUUAUUGGGUUUAAAGGGUGCGUAGGCGGGUAUUUAAGUCAGGGGUGAAAGUCUGCGGCUCAACCGUAGAAUUGCCUUUGAUACUGGAUAUCUUGAAUACAGUUGAGGUAGGCGGAAUGUGUAAUGUAGCGGUGAAAUGCAUAGAUAUUACACAGAACACCGAUUGCGAAGGCAGCUUACUGGACUGUGAUUGGCGCUGAGGCACGAAAGCGUGGGUAGCAAACAGGAUUAGAUACCCUGGUAGUCCACGCCGUAAACGAUGAUCACUGGAUGUUGGCGAUACAUAGUCAGCGUCUGAGCGAAAGCAUUAAGUGAUCCACCUGGGGAGUACGGCCGCAAGGUUGAAACUCAAAGGAAUUGACGGGGGCCCGCACAAGCGGUGGAACAUGUGGUUUAAUUCGAUGAUACGCGAGGAACCUUACCUGGGCUUAAAUGCAGGGUGUUUUACAUGGAAACGUGUAAUCCCUUCGGGGCGCCCUACAAGGUGCUGCAUGGUUGUCGUCAGCUCGUGCCGUGAGGUGUCGGGUUAAGUCCCAUAACGAGCGCAACCCUUAUCGUUAGUUGCCAGCGGGUCAUGCCGGGGACUCUAACGAAACUGCCGGUGUAAACCGAGAGGAAGGUGGGGAUGACGUCAAAUCAGCACGGCCCUUAUGUCCAGGGCUACACACGUGUUACAAUGGCCGGUACAGAGGGCAGCUACCUGGUAACAGGAUGCGAAUCUCGAAAGCCGGUCUCAGUUCGGAUUGGAGUCUGCAACUCGACUUCAUGAAGCUGGAAUCGCUAGUAAUCGCGCAUCAGCCACGGCGCGGUGAAUACGUUCCCGGGCCUUGUACACACCGCCCGUCAAGCCAUGGAAGCUUGGGGUACCUGAAGUCCGUAACCGCAAGGAGCGGCCUAGGGUAAAACGAGUGACUGGGGCUAAGUCGGAACAAGGUA